rnacentral:rRNA from 1 species
GAUGAACGCUGGCGGCGUGCCUAAUACAUGCAAGUCGAGCGAAUGGAUUAAGAGCUUGCUCUUAUGAAGUUAGCGGCGGACGGGUGAGUAACACGUGGGUAACCUGCCCAUAAGACUGGGAUAACUCCGGGAAACCGGGGCUAAUACCGGAUAACAUUUUGAACCGCAUGGUUCGAAAUUGAAAGGCGGCUUCGGCUGCCCCUUAUGGAUGGACCCGCGGAGCAUUAGCUAGUUGGUGAGGUAACGGCUCACCAAGGCAACGAUGCGUAGCCGACCUGAGAGGGUGAUCGGCCACACUGGGGCUGAGACACGGCCCAGACUCCUACGGGAGGCAGCAGUAGGGAAUCUUCCGCAAUGGACGAAAGUCUGACGGAGCAACGCCGCGUGAGUGAUGAAGGCUUUCGGGUCGUAAAACUCUGUUGUUAGGGAAGAACAAGUGCUAGUUGAAUAAGCUGACACCUUGACGGUACCUAACCAGAAAGCCACGGCUAACUACGUGCCAGCCGCCGCUGUAA